CGUGGCUCUGAAAGAUGUGUAGCAAUGCAUGUUCUUUUUCAGGCUAUAACAAAACAUACCCUUUGUGGUUUAAUAGUAUAAACGUAUGUGUUUAGAGGAGGUUGGUGGAUGUGUUGAGAGGAUGUUUGUUAAGAAUGUACUCUCUCUGCCGCCAGCCUCAUUCUCUAUAAUAUAAACUUUAUUAACCUUUUCUUAAAUGUCUAAAGCAUUCUUGCGAUUUCUCUUUCGAGAGAACUACCAAGUAAAACAACGAGUAAUCUAAUACAACUGCUAGCAACGGAUCACUCGGCUCUCGCGUCGAUGAAGAACGUAGCGAACUGCGAAAAUUAAUGCGACCCGCAACACGUGAGUCAUCGAGUUUUUGAACGCAUAUUGCACCCGACCAAUUUACCGUCGGGUCUGCCUGUCUGAGUAUCAGUACGGACCCAACCGAAUUGAAUGGUUUAUUAAUAGUGAUAUUAGUAAAUUAGACAAAUCGAGUUGGCGCUCGUUGUUUAUGAUGUAAAGAUGUGAUUGUUUUUUAUUAAACCAUUUCUCCUCUUUCUCUCUACUAACAACGGAAUUGAAUGUUUAACUGUAAUAUUGUUAAUCAUUUGAAAUGUAUUGGUCUGGCGCGUCACAAGUACACUGUUUAUUACUUGCAACACACUAGCAUUGUUAAUCAUCCUUUUGGGUGUCCUUGCUAACUAACCGCAGUAAUUUACACUAAAAGUGUCUGACGUCCAAUAUAGACUGUUUGCGCAAUCUAAAAGGUUAAUACCCUUUUACAUUACCAACCUUGAUCUCAGAUCAGGCAGGAUGACCCG
rnacentral:rRNA from 1 species